CAAAGCUUUGAUGGUGUAGCUGUAGUUCGUAUGAAUCUUUGUCUUUGUAUCUUCUAACAAGGAUACAAUACUUACGCCUUUAAGAUCCAGUUGCGGUUCUAAU
rnacentral:pre_miRNA from 1 species